GAUGAAGAACGUAGCGAAAUGCGAUAAGUAAUGUGAAUUACAGAAUUCAGUGAAUCAUCGAAUCUUUGAACGCACCUUGCACCCUUUGGCAUUCCGAAGGGUAUGCUCGUUUGAGUGUCAUUGUACUCUCACACUUCCAAUCUUUGGAUUGGGGGCGGUGGACUUGGGUGUUGCUGCUUACUGUGGCUCACCUCAAAUUGAUUCGUGCACCUCUUGGUUGGACAUAGUACGGCGUGAUAAGUGUCUUCGCCGGCACCUCAGUAGAGGGUGGCUGAUCGGGAGCUCUGUGCUUCAAACCGUCCUCGGACAACAACUGACAACUUGACCUCAAAUCGAGUAGGACUACCCGCUGAACUUAAGCAUAUCAAUAAGCGGAGGA
rnacentral:misc_RNA from 1 species